rnacentral:rRNA from 1 species
UUAAAUGGCCGCAGUAUUUUGACUGUGCUAAGGUAGCAUAAUCAUUAGUUUUUUAAUUGAAAGCUGGAAUGAAAGGUUGAAUGAGAAAAUAACUGUCUCUAAUUAAUUUUAUUAAAAUUUUAUUUUUAAGUUAAAAAGCUUAAAUAUUUUUAAAAGACGAGAAGACCCUAUAGAGUUUUAUAAAUUUAUUUAAUAUUUAUAUUUAGAAUUUACUUUAAAAAAUAAAAGAUUUAUUUAAUUGGGGUGAUUGAAAAAUUUAAUAAACUUUUUUUAAAUUUUUAUAUAAAUUUAUAAAUUAAU